rnacentral:rRNA from 1 species
UACGGAGUGUGCAAGCGUUACUCGGAAUCACUGGGCAUAAAGCGCGCGUAGGCGGGUUUUCAAGUCGGUUGUGAAAUCCCUCAGCUCAACUGAGGAACUGCAUCCGAUACUGUCUGUCUUGAGGACGAGAGGGGAAAGUGGAACGUUCUGGUGGAGCGGUGAAAUGCGUAGAUAUCAGAAGGAACGCCGGUGGCGAAAGCGACUUUCUGGCUCGUAUCUGACGCUGGAGGCGCGGAAAGCUUGGGUAGCAAACGGG